rnacentral:rRNA from 1 species
GACGAACCGAGCGAACGUUAUUCGGAAUCACUGGGCUUAAAGGGCGCGUAGGCGGGCCGUCAAGUCAGGGGUGAAAGCCCCCAGCUCAACUGGGGAAGUGCCUUUGAUACUGACGGUCUCGAGGGAGAUAGGGGCGUGCGGAACUUCCGGUGGAGCGGUGAAAUGCGUAGAUAUCGGAAGGAACACCGGUGGCGAAAGCGGCGCGCUGGAUCUCUUCUGACGCUGAGGCGCGAAAGCCAGGGGAGCGGAACGGG